CCUACGGGAGGCAGCAGUGGGGGAUAUUGGGCAAUGGGCGCAAGCCUGACCCAGCAACGCCGCGUGAGGGAAGAAGGAUUUCGGGUUGUAAACUUCUGUUAUCAGGGACGAAAGAAGUGACGGUACCUGAGGAAUAAGCCCCGGCUAACUACGUGCCAGCAGCCGCGGUAAUACGUAGGUGGCAAGCGUUAUCCGGAUUUAUUGGGUGUAAAGGGCGUGUAGGCGGGAGAGCAAGUCAGAUGUGAAAGCUCAGGGCCCAACCCCGAGACUGCAUUUGAAACUGUGUUCCUUGAGUGCAGGAGAGGCAAGCGGAAUUCCGGGUGUAGCGGUGAAAUGCGUAGAUAUACGGAGGAACACCAGUGGCGAAGGCGGAUUGCUGGACAGUAACUGACGUUGAGGCUCGAAAGCGUGGGGAGCAAACAGGAUUAGAUACCCUAGUAGUC
rnacentral:rRNA from 1 species